rnacentral:rRNA from 1 species
AUUGCCCUAGUAACGGCGAGUGAAGCGGCAACAGCUCAAAUUUGAAAUCUGGCUCUUUUAGGGUCCGAGUUGUAAUUUGCAGAGGGCGCUUUGGCUUUGGCAGCGGUCCAAGUUCCUUGGAACAGGACGUCACAGAGGGUGAGAAUCCCGUACGUGGUCGCUAGCUAUUGCCGUGUAAAGCCCCUUCGACGAGUCGAGUUGUUUGGGAAUGCAGCUCUAAAUGGGAGGUAAAUUUCUUCUAAAGCUAAAUACUGGCCAGAGACCGAUAGCGCACAAGUAGAGUGAUCGAAAGAUGAAAAGCACUUUGGAAAGAGAGUCAAACAGCACGUGAAAUUGUUGAAAGGGAAGCGCUUGCCGCCAGACUUGCUUGCAGUUGCUCACCCGGGCCCUUUUGCCCGGUGCACUCUUCUGCAGGCAGGCCAGCAUCAGUUUGGGCGGUGGGAUAAAGGUCUCUGUCACGUACCUCUCUUCGGGGAGGCCUUAUAGGGGAGACGACAUACCACCAGCCUGGACUGAGGUCCGCGCAUUUUUUGCUAGGAUGCUGGCGUAAUGGCUGUAAGCGGCCCGUCUUGAAACACGGACCAAGGAGUCUAACAUCUAUGCGAGUGUUUGGGUGUCAAGCCCGAACGCGUAAUGAAAGUGAACGGAGGUGGGAACCCGCAAGGGUGCACCAUCGACCGAUCCUGAUGUCUUCGGAAGGAUUUGAGUAAGAGCAUGGCUGUUGGGACCCGAAAGAUGGUGAACUAUGCUUGAAUAGGGUGAAGCCAGAGGAAACUCUGGUGGAGGCUCGCAGCGGUUCUGACGUGCAAAUCGAUCGUCAAAUUUGGGCAUAGGGGCGAAAGACUAAUCGAAUAUCUAGUA